UGAACGGCCUUCCUACCCAUGUCUGUCACCCAGUCCCUUCCACAGAGACAACUGUGACCUUUUUAAAUGGGUACACCAUAAUGACUUCUGGAAAGCUCCAGAGAUAUAUGAUAUGCUUCUCAAGUGGAUGCAGGUGGAAACAGAAAGAGAAAGUUCCAAGUGCAAAGGUCCAAAAUGGCCAAGGACAGAGGGCUUGUCUUGGCUGUACAGGCGGCGUGAGGGUAGAUGGGUGGUACCUCGUAUCUUGAGGCGUUGUCUUUCCCUGGAUUCCAGAGCAGCUGUCGCGCCUGUGCCCUCAGGAGUGCCCUCACAUUGUCUUUCAAGCCAUCUCUGGGCCCCUGGCUGCAGCCACUGCCUCCGUCCUCACCAAUCC
rnacentral:lncRNA from 1 species